UACAGAGGGUGCAAGCGUUAAUCGGAAUUACUGGGCGUAAAGGGCGCGUAGGUGGAACAAUAAGUUGGAUGUGAAAUCCCCGGGCUUAACCUGGGAACGCCAUCCAAAACUGUUGAUCUAGAGUAUAGUAGAGGGAAGUGGAAUUUCCGGUGUAGCGGUGAAAUGCGUAGAUAUCGGAAGGAACACCAGUGGCGAAGGCGGCUUCCUGGACUAAUACUGACACUGAGGCGCGAGAGCGUGGGGAGCAAACAGG
rnacentral:rRNA from 1 species